rnacentral:rRNA from 1 species
CGCGCAGGUGGUUGAUUAAGUCUGAUGUGAAAGCCCACGGCUUAACCGUGGAGGGUCAUUGGAAACUGGUCGACUUGAGUGCAGAAGAGGGAAGUGGAAUUCCAUGUGUAGCGGUGAAAUGCGUAGAGAUAUGGAGGAACACCAGUGGCGAAGGCGGCUUCCUGGUCUGUAACUGACACUGAGGCGCGAAAGCGUGGGGAGCAAACAGGAUUAGAUACCCUGGUAGUCCACGCCGUAAACGAUGAGUGCUAAGUGUUGGGGGUCGAACCUCAGUGCUGAAGUUAACGCAUUAAGCACUCCGCCUGGGGAGUACGGUCGCAAGACUGAA